UGCUCAUCUAACAAGAUUUGAUUAGAGAAUCAUUAUGAUAUUUAACCAAAUCAGUGUAGCUCAUAGUUCCAUACAUGAAUGUUCCUUAAACCUUUUGCUUUUGUGUUAGUUUGAAAUAUAAAAAAAGUUUAAAUCAUAUGAGUUUUGACUCAUUAAACAUUAUGCACAUAUGUAGACUAUAUUUAACAGAGUUCUACUUCAAUUUGGAGUCUAUAUGAUGUUUCUGAUACAAUGUGGUUGAUGUCGUGAUACUCUCAAUAAGAUUCUGCACACACAACACACACUCCCUCUACAUAUAUAUGUAUAUAUACAUGAUCAGAACUUGUUUCAAGUGUCACAAUAGCUCAAUGUAAAUAUAAGGAUUACUGUUUAACUUGGAGCAGCUAAUUAUGUGGGUUCAAAUAAACUUUUCCAAUAUCGAAUUCUAAACUACGAUCUAGGUAGUUAGCUUUCUAAAUAAAGUUUGUUUUGCAUGUCUCUUGAGAAACUAUGCCAUCUGAUACCCAUAAUCAGAGGUCCAGGAGAGAUAUGUUAAAUACAUUACCCAAGUGAUUUAUAUGAUACUCAUGUAGAUGGUUUAUAAAAUCAUGACAAAUUAAAUAUAUAUGUAUAUAUACUUAAAAUAGUAAAAAAAUUAGAUAGCCAAGGAUGAAGCUGAUAUGUUCUACUUAUACUAGAAGUCAAAUACAUCUCCCUACUCUUGAACAACAGGGAACACUCAACAGUUCCCAAUAGUUGAGUUGGAUAUUGCUCGGCCAUGUUGGGGAAGUUGCCUAAGUGACUCUUAUGAUCAUAGUGGCUAAAAAAAUGAAGUGUGCAAGUCUCACAAUUUCAUUUGGGGAUAAUGGGGAACAAAUUUAAGAGUCAAAUUUCAAUUAGAAUGGUGGGCACCUAGUCAGAGAAGUUAAUACUUGUACUACUUGUGAUAGAUUUAACUUGGUACAUUGAAAUAUACAGAAAACAAGCACAAAGGUAAUAGCACUGAAGCUUAGCCAAAAGAGCAUUCUAAUUUUUAAGCCUAAUGAGGAUAGCACUACUGCUUCCAAAUUAUGUCCCGGGCAAAUUUUGAUGCAGUAAUCCAGAACUUAAAUCUGUAACUGUUGGGACCUGCAAUAUGUUUAUGUUGAAUUCCUUCUACAAGAUACACAAUCCAUUAAGAUUUCCAUCCAUGUGCAGUAGCAGAAGAGUGUGCAUGCUAAUCCCUAAAUACUAAUUCGCAGCUUUCUUUCACCCAUAGCUAUCUUAAUAAAGAAGCAUAAGGAGAUAAACAAUAGGAGGCCACAGAUUUCGGAAAACCUAAUGCCCAUGUCAUCAUCUCCAAUGAUAUCGCCAACAAAAUUUCACAAGAAAUCCAACUUGAUAAGCCUCACUUAACCAAACUCCAAAUACAUACUUAUCUACUAAACCCUAAUCACGAGAAAGAUAGCCUACACAUACACUCCUCAAUCCGAACUCGACCAAUAAAAAAGCCCUAAAAGAUGCUCUAGUGUAAGCAAGAAAGGAUGGGUGAGGGGCGACUGACGGGGAAGCAAUCGUAGGCCCCGAAGAUGGGCCAGAGUCAGUGAGGACUACAAGCGCCUGCUGCACCGCCAUCUUAGCCUUCUUCUUUCUCCUCCUCCUCCGCCCGAUUCCUUGCUCGCCCUUCUCGUCGCCAAUCGCGUCAGAUCGAGCAAGUGGACAAAACCGACGAAGACCGAAAAAGAAAGCCAAACGUCUUUAGGAUUUAAUAUUACUAGUAGUAACAACUAUGUGUAUAAAUGUCGAUGGAUCAUUUUAGUAAGUACAUUGUGAUGUACGCUGAGAAAGGCAUUCGGAUCACCUGUCUCAGUGAACCAGGGAGCUUUAUUAUUCCUGACGAGUAGCUAUCCACGACAGUAUUGGCUCCCUGACAUCUUCGCUUUGGUGUGGCGUGGGACUCCUCCGAUAGUGGAGACACUGUUCCCUGCUU
rnacentral:lncRNA from 1 species